GCACUUUUUGAGCACAUACCCUAAAAUUGGAACAAGGCAGAGAAGAUUAACAAGCUACCUGCACAAGAAUAACAUAAAAUUCUAUAGAGUGUUCCAUAUCUUU